CUGGAAGUGAUAUGUACAUACAUGGCGUGGAGAAAACCACAAACAGCUAAACAUAUACAUUUCAAGCAUCUAAUAAGCAGUACAUAAAAACAAAUGCUGAAAUGAUUUUUGUAGCAUGUUGCACUAUCCUGUAAGAUUCAUCUGGUUUUCUUCGUAGUCUUAGUUGUUUAAAGCGCUGUUUUUUUCCCCCCUCCCUUCAAACUGUUUAAU